UACAGAGGGUGCAAGCGUUGUUCGGAAUUAUUGGGCGUAAAGCGCACGUAGGUGGCGACGUAAGUCGGGUGUGAAAGCCCCGGGCUCAACCUGGGAAUUGCAUUCGAGACUGCAUUGCUGGAGUACGGAAGAGGAGGGCGGAAUUCCCGGUGUAGCGGUGAAAUGCGUAGAUAUCGGGAGGAACAUCAGUGGCGAAGGCGGCCCUCUGGUCCAGUACUGACACUCAAGUGCGAAAGCGUGGGGAGCAAACAGG
rnacentral:rRNA from 1 species